rnacentral:sRNA from 1 species
UGGAAAAAGGCAGGUAACUAUACCAGAAA